GCGGGGAAAAGAAAUAUCAAUUAACAUCAAAUGCAUCAAACUAAGCAACAAAGGUUUAAACAUUUAUUUCUGAAUGGUUUGGGGAUAUAAACUAGUACAGGCUCAUUUCUUAGAGCAAUGAACUUGGUCCCAGCAUUUCGAACUAACAACCUAGCAACCUGUAUGACAUCAUUGACUUGAAAUGAAAUGCUCACAAGGCUUCAGGAAAACCAAACUGGUUUGUGGUAGUUGCCACACAUGCAACGAAAAUGUCGGCAGCGUAUUGAGAAGAUGACAUUAUCAACCCUUUGCAACAUAUUCUCCAGCUUCAGAGCCAUAUUUGGCUGUGCUUCCAACUUCUAUAUCCAUCUUGAUAAUCUAUCACAUCCCAUCAGCCACCACAAUCCAAACAAAUAUAACAUGGUUCAAAUGCAUGGUCAUGACUUGAUAAUAUUGCAACAAAACAAAACAAAGCAUUGCAUUCAUUUAUAGUUGGAAAAAAGAUUCACAUCCCUCAGUAUCACUGAAUCAUCAAAGAUCAAACCACUACUUUUAGAUUGCAUAGCAUUCAUCAUAGGGAUGUGGAAACUAUGAUACAUAUAUAGCUUACAAAGAACACUACACUCAGUACAGAUUUAUGGUACAAUAAUUCAGUGCUUUUAAACUUAUAAAUCUUCCCAUGAAAAAGCAAAACAAACUUCUAUAGAAAGAUAGAAGCAACAGCCAAGUUUCAACAGAGAAAGACACAUACGUCCACACAAAAUUAAUUCAAGGAUUCUGAAAAAGCAACUGAUAUAUGAGUUGAUAAGUUUCAAACACAAUCGAAACUAAAGAAGCCCAUCCUUUGGGAUUAAUAUUUCAUCAGUAACCAACAAUCAGUCCAAUACUUUUAAUUUGCUUACUACUCAUCAUCGGGAUGCAAUGAAUCAAACCAGCCAAAUAUCAGCAGAUCACAAAGAGGCUAUCUAUGUUCACAAAACAUUGAAACGUUAAGCACAUUGCUCACCAUUUCCAUUGCAAUAAGGAUGUUAACAGAUAGUCCCUCAGAAUUUGUUUUACAUCAUGGGAGAUUCAGUCCACUACUUUUAAUUUCAAAAUCAUUCUUCAUAGGGACUUAAAAAGUCAAAUUCUUUAGCAACAGAAAAUGCAAACCAAAAAGCAGAUAAAAGUCAUAAACACAACUGAACAGCAAAUAAAACUCAAUCAACCCGCAACACGGAAAAUGAGAUAAUAAAAAAAAAAUUCAGAUUGGUGACGAAAAAAAGAAAUUUUAUCAGACAAUGAAUUGACUUUCUACAAAAGAGAAGAACAGCUAAUACAGUUGAUGACUUGAUGCCGGCUUUUUGUUUGGAUUUAUCAUGGAUGGAAUAAAAAG
rnacentral:lncRNA from 1 species